CCACCUUUGACAUCUUUCUCCACAGAAAAUGAAGCAGCGCGGUCCCAUAGUUUGCUUCGCCAUGGAGUUCAGACCUCGCAAUUACAGUGCCGAAAAGCAAGCCCACGCGCUUCCGCGAGUAAGAGCGGGCGAUCACCCUCUCUCCGCUCCAUCGUCUCUACCUCACCUCCAGGUUGAGGUCGUGGACCAUGGGGAUACGGAGUUUUUUGAUCCGCUAAGAAGGUCCGAUAACAAUGCCGAAGCUGCUAGAGAGGAUUUAGUAGACAUUGAAACCAGUUCUGGGGCAGGGCUCUCCAGUGAAGCUUCUAUUCAAAAUCCAUCUAAAGAAUGGGCCUCUUUUAAGAGAUCCCUGAUGCAGAGGUUUCCAGUCUCCAAAACAGUUUCAACUUCUUCAAUGUCCGAUAUGAUGGUGAAAGGCAGGAAAACAUAUGAGAAAUCUUCAACAAGUAUGCAUUUGGAGGAACUGGACGAUCCAGAAAAAUUUGCAGAAGAGGGUGGCAAGGUCAUCACAGGGCAGGAAUAUGUUUCUCGGUUGCAUGAACUUAAAGCUGAAUUAACUCGUGCAUGGCAUGCUGAUGAUCGUGUGACAUCCCUGAAAAUAUCAAUAAAAGUUGCUAGGCUUUUGAUGGAUACAUCUGUUUUACAAUGCUAUCCUACACUCUUUGCUCUUGCUACGGAUAUUUUGGAUAUGCUUGGGGAUAUGGUAUGGGAACGCAUCAAAUUGAAAGCUGAAUUUGAUGAAGAUGAAACCAAAUUCUGCUUCCUACCAGAGAACUUUUCAGCAAGUGAUGUUUGCUCUGAUGCCAAAGAAACUUGCAAUAACUGGUUCUGCAAAAUUGGUGCUGUCCGAGAGCUUCUUCCACGCAUUUAUUUGGAGCUGGCAUUAUUGCCUUGCUGGCGUUUCUUGGUUGACCAACCUCUUGACAGUCUCCGGCGCUUGGUAAUGAUGACGAGAGGGUUAGCAGAUCCAUUGGCAUCUGCCUAUUGCCGUCUGUAUAUGUCCCAUUGUAUGAGGAAGUUACCUUCACAUUAUACAGGAUGCCUGCUCACUUGUGCGAAUGACUUCAAAAUUGUGUUGAUGCGGGUCAUAUCAGCAGAGGAAACCAGUCAUGGAAAUUUGAGUGACAACAAAAGAUUGCUUGUCGGUCUGAUGGAACCCACCAUUGAGUUUAUCAUGAAAUGCAUAUUUAAGAACAUGUCCGAGAGACAAGUAGGUGAUGUGCUCAUUGAGCUUGGACUUGGGGACAACCAAGUGGAGUUGUUUGGAAGGUUCCCAUAUGUCUCAAUUGUUCUUCAUCAUCUACUCAAGCAACUUCCAUCGGAAGUAGUUAGCUCAAGGGCUGUGGAGAUCCUUCGUCUCAUUGAGUUAAGCAAUGAUGAUUCCUUUGAUCAGUGCUUGAAUUACAGAUUACUUGGAUUUAGGCUGUGUGAAAGAUCUCAAAUUGACACUGCCAACGCUGUGGUGGACAAAGCCAUCCAGGUUAUUGUUCAAUAUGAUGGCCUUGAUGAGUACUUGAAGGUUGCGGAUGCUUAUGUGGAUAUUAUCCUUCAAAAUCAUAUGGAUGACCAUCUGAACUCCAUUUUAGAAGGUAUUUCAAAACGAGCAUGCAGUGAAGAGAUUGCUGAUGAUGAAAUGGCAACCUUGCAGUCCAUCUUGGUGAAGCUUCUUUCUUAUUACAAGGAUUUAGAAGACAUAUUUUCCAUGAAUCAUUUUCUCAAGAUCUUGGAUCUAAUGCAUGGAAGUUCGCGAAGCAUCGUCAAUAUGCAUAUCCUUGAUAUAGGGAUAAGGAAUGGUUGUAUAUGUGAUCCACGAACCAUACAGUUUCUUCUCGAAAUUUCUCAGGCUCUACAUCAGGACGAAAAUUUUGGGAAUCUAAAAGAUGAUACUAACCAACCAGCACGUUUGAUUUCUCAGUUUGUAUCUCUGGUUGAUUAUGGGGCAGAGAUGGAGAGUCAGUUGGCAUUCUUAGUUGAAUGCCGUGGAUAUUUUGGUGGCAUUCGUGGGCUUAAGGAAACUCUUAUUCACUCCAGUAAUUGUUUAGCGAUUAAGGCUUUGAAAGAUGGGAAUAGGCAUCUUGGUUUUGUAAAAUCCUGCAUAGCAUUUUCUGAAGUCACAUUACCUUCUAUUUCACCCCAGAUUAGACAGUUAAAUCUUUAUCUUGAGACUGCAGAGGUAGCUCUACUGGGUGGCUUAAUUUCCCAUUCGGAUGGACUGAUUGAUUCAGCAAUCAACUCUUUGCAAAUUUUAGAUGUACUGGAUGGCUUUAGAACACCAAUUGAUGCUGAUGGAGUACUCUCCUCAAUUCAAAAAUUAUUUAGUCUCUUGGUUAUGGUUCCAGGUAAUCUUGAGCAUGGAGUUACGUACUUACCAAAGAACUUGGUGUUGCUGCUCAACUCACAGUCAUGGAUGACUCCAAGAAUGAGGGUGAAAUUUUUGUGUGCAAUUGUUUCGCUGUUAGCGGCACUAUCUCAACAAAAUCUUCCUUAUCAUGCAGAUAAUGGAAAGCUUCUAGGAAAUGACGAAUUGUUCUUUGGUGAUCCAUCAUAUCUGCAUGAGCUUGCCUCAUUGUGCCAGUUUGUUCUUCAGAACCUGGUUGAUGCUAUUCAACAGGAACCUUCCAUGACUGCUCGUGGGAGCAUGGCGCUUGAAGCUUGCAACUGCAUUGCGUCAUCUUUGAUUAACCCACCGUGGCUGGUGGCGGCCUUCAGUAACUGUAUGGGGAUCUGGAAUUCCAUAUUUGGCCUCCAAAACCUGCUCAUAGCCUCAAAACUGCUUAAGAUAACCAGCUACUAGAAGCUAUUGCUCAAAAGCUCUACGUCUUAUUGGAGGCAAUCUAUAUGAUUAGCUUCCUACAUUUCCCAUGCUGAUGCGGGGACAAACCUGGCUGAGGCAAAUGCUGCUUAAGCAACUUUUGAAGAAAAUGACUUCCUCUUCUUUGAUCGCUGAAACAAUUUAAUCUAAGUCAGGAAAUAUCAUCAAUUUGCUCCAAACUGAUAGAGACUGGGAAGUCAUGUUUGAGCACAAACAAUCGAUAUCUGCAAUCGACAAUUCAAUUUAUUGAUCACUUGU